rnacentral:pre_miRNA from 1 species
UGGACAGAUUAUUGUAUUCGACUGUAUCAUGGCGUGCAAUAGGGGAUUACACUGUUUUUAAAACAGAAAGUGAAUCAAUUAACAUAACAGACUCCU